GAGCAGAUGAUGACAUAGAUACAUCACAAUUACUCCUGAUAUAUUUCUAUGAAGUCUCAAAUUCGAGCUUUUUAAAACUGAUGCUCA